rnacentral:rRNA from 1 species
CCUACGGGAGGCAGCAGUGAGGGAUAUUGCGCAAUGGGCGAAAGCCUGAGGGAGCAACGCCGCGUGGAGGACGACGGCCUUCGGGUUGUAAACUCCUUUCGGGUGGGACGACCGCGACGGUACCACCAGAAGCAGCCCCGGCUAACUCUGUGCCAGCAGCCGCGGUAAGACAGAGGGGGCAAGCGUUGUCCGGAGUUACUGGGCGUAAAGGGCGCGGAGGCGGUCUGCGGCGUCGGCGCUGAAAGCGCCCCGCUUAACGGGGCGAGGCGUGCCGAUACGCGCAGACUUGAGGCGAGCAGAGGGUGGUGGAAUUCCGGGUGGAGCGGUGAAAUGCGUAGAGAUCCGGAGGAACGCCAGUGGGGAAGCCGGCCACCUGGGCUCGUCCUGACGCUGCGGCGCGACCGCGUGGGGAGCAAACCGGAUUAGAUACCCCUGUAGG